rnacentral:rRNA from 1 species
AGAACGAACGCUGGCGGCGUGCCUAACACAUGCAAGUCGAACGGGCAUAUUAGUGUAGCAAUACAUUGAUAUGUUAGUGGCGCGCGGGUGAGUAACACGUAGGCAAUCUACCCUAGAGUGGGGGACAACCCAGGGAAACUUGGGCUAAUACCGCAUAAGACCACGAACUGGGAUGUUCGUGGUAAAAGUAGCAAUACGCUUUAGGAUGAGUCUGCGGCCUAUCAGGUAGUUGGUGGAGUAACGGCCCACCAAGCCAAUGACGGGUAACCGGUCUAAGAGGACGAACGGCCACACUGGAACUGAGACACGGUCCAGACUCCUACGGGAGGCAGCAGUGGGGAAUCUUGCACAAUGGGCGAAAGCCUGAUGCAGCGACGCCGCGUGGGGGAUGAAGGCCUUCGGGUUGUAAACUCCUUUUGCAGGGGAAGAUAAUGACGGUACCCUGCGAAUAAGCCACGGCUAACUCUGUGCCAGCAGCCGCGGUAAGACAGAGGUGGCGAGCGUUGUUCGGAAUUACUGGGCUUAAAGGGCGCGUAGGUGGUGAUAUAAGUCUGGGGUGGAAUUCUGCAGCUUAACUGCGGGACUGCCCUGGAAACUGUAUUGCUUGAGUCGGACAGGGGAAGGCGGAAUUCCAGGUGUAGCGGUGAAAUGCGUAGAUAUCUGGAGGAAGGCCUGUGGUGAAGACGGCCUUCUGGGUCUUGACUGACGCUGAGGCGCGAAAGCGUGGGUAGCAAACAGGAUUAGAUACCCUGGUAGUCCACGCCCUAAACGGUGGGUACUAGGUGUGGGGCCCGUACGGGUUCUGUGCCGAAGGGAAACCAUUAAGUACCCCGCCUGGGGAGUACGGCCGCAAGGUUG